rnacentral:rRNA from 1 species
CUGGGCUACACACGUGCUACAAUGGUCGGUACAGAGAGCAGCCACUACGCGAGUAGGAGCGAAUCUAUAAAACCGAUCUCAGUUCGGAUCGCAGUCUGCAACUCGACUGCGUGAAGCUGGAAUCGCUAGUAAUCGCAUAUCAGCCAUGAUGCGGUGAAUACGUUCCCGGGCCUUGUACACACCGCCCGUCAAGCCGUGGAAGCUGGGGGUACCUGAAGUCGGUAACCGUAAGGAGCUGCCUAGGGUAAAACUAGUACUAGGGCUAAGUCGUACAGGUACCAGGGCGAUUCCGCACACUGCGCCGUAUAGUGAUCCGAGCUCGUACC